CAGAUUUUGGAUAGACUGCAGGCAUUUGGUGAAUUUGAGUUCAAACAUUUUGGGGACAAGGUUAUUGUUGAGGAACAAAUAGAGAGGGGAUAUGAAUGAGAUAUUUCGUGGCAGUUCAUUUCUUGAAUUAAGAAGUGCAUGAUUUUAUCCUCUGGAAAAUAGCUCAUUUGAGGUCUUUCUCGUUGGAAAUAGAAAUAACGCAUUUUUUUUAUUUUUAAUGCAUUUUAAUUUUUGACAUGUGUAUGUAUAUUCUCUCUCUCUCUCUCUCUCUCUCUCUCUCUCUCUCUCUCUCACACACACACACACAAACACACCCCCACCCACCCACACACACACCCACCCACACACCCACACACACAUUUUUGAAGUAUUAUGUUGAUCAAUAAUACAAUACUUGUUUCUUGAAACUAACAUUUGAUGGUUAAGCUUUCAUUUGUAAAUUUUUUUAGGAUUGCAUAAGUUAAUGUUACAUGCCUUAAAUGCAAGCAACAAGUAUAGUAGGACAAGAUUAUUUGUUGUUUAUCUUUGACAUUUUUUGUUGAACCGUGUGUGAUGUUUAUCAGUUUGGAUUUUAUUUUUUAUUUUUUAUUUUUUAAAUUUAGAUGACCAACUUGGUGGUCAAAUGUGUAAUAUUUUGUGGAAAUAUAAGAGUAGUUGUAGAGAAAUGUCCCUUUGCCACUUAUUUGGUAGGAACCAUUUCUGGGGAUUUUUUCCCUUAUGCACCCAUUGCAACACUUCUUUUUUUUUUUUUCGUGAGACAAGUUUGCUAGCCGAGACUCCCUAUGUACAUGUAUUAUACUAAUUAUGGUCUUCUAUUUAACUGUGGAUACAAAAAGUUGUAGUAGUCUUAACUUGAAAAGGCUAAUAGUUUAGUGUUUGCUUCAUUUUACUACUUGGAUGCUCUCUCUCUCUCUCUCUCUCCAUACAUGAGAAUAUAAAAAUACCUGUAUCUAUCUAUCUGUUUGUUUGUCUCAUGAGCCUGUAUUUGUUUAUUUGUUUUGGAUUCUGGUUGCAAGAUGUGAGGAUACAUU